rnacentral:rRNA from 1 species
UACGGAGGGGGCUAGCGUUGUUCGGAAUUACUGGGCGUAAAGCGCACGUAGGCGGCUUUGUAAGUUAGAGGUGAAAGCCCGGGGCUCAACUCCGGAAUUGCCUUUAAGACUGCAUCGCUUGAAUCAUGGAGAGGUGAGUGGAAUUCCGAGUGUAGAGGUGAAAUUCGUAGAUAUUCGGAAGAACACCAGUGGCGAAGGCGACUCACUGGACAUGUAUUGACGCUGAGGUACGAAAGCGUGGGGAGCAAACGGG